UACGUAGGGAGCAAGCGUUGUUCGGAUUUACUGGGCGUAAAGGGCGCGUAGGCGGUUUGUCGCGUCUGCCGUGAAAGUCCGGGGCUCAACUCCGGAUCUGCGGUGGGUACGGGCAGACUAGAGUGAUGUAGGGGAGACUGGAAUUCCUGGUGUAGCGGUGAAAUGCGCAGAUAUCAGGAGGAACACCGAUGGCGAAGGCAGGUCUCUGGGCAUUAACUGACGCUGAGGAGCGAAAGCAUGGGGAGCGAACAGG
rnacentral:rRNA from 1 species